UAAAGCUCAAGUUUACUCGUGUUUUGUAAGGAUUAACAAACAAACUUGUACUUAAAUAAACAAUAUCUCAACGUUUUAACAUGCAGUUGGAUUACAUUAUACUUCGGAAGAUCAACCCACAGAAAAGGAAAAAAAUAAAAUAAGGCUUAUAAUAUGACUAAAAUGGGACGACUCGAGACAUCUAAUAUUGAACCCUGCCCUGCCCUGCCCAAGCUUAUCAGAGAGCUAGAAAAUCUAAACCGGAUGUGAAUCCAUGGGAUUCAGUUAACAUAAAGUUAUUUUUUUGAUAAGUUAGUCAAUUAGCC
rnacentral:lncRNA from 1 species